rnacentral:lncRNA from 1 species
UUUUUUUUUUUUUUUUUACUUUUCUAGGGCCACACCUGGGACAUAUGGAGGUUCCCAGACUAGGGGUCUAAUCGGAGCUGUAGCUGCCAGCCUACACCAGAGCCAGAGCAACUCGGAAUCCGAGCCGCAUCUCUGACCUGCAUCACAGCUCACGGCAACACCGGAUUCUUAACCCACUGAGCGAGGCCAGGGAUCGAACCUGCAACCUCAUGGUUCCUAGUCAGAUUCAUUAACCACUGAGCUACAAUGGGAACUCCCCAAUGACGAUUCUUUUCUAUUAGAAAUGAUGAUUCCUUCUUUUCUAUUAGAAAUGAUGAUUCUUUUCUAUUAGAAAUUGUGUUAACAGUUGCAGCCAUUUUCCAUUAGUAUUUUAAAAUACUAGUGUUUGAGUCCACGUAACACUCUUAGCUAUUGACACUAAGGUAUAAUUAUGACUCUAAAGGGCUCUGUCACUUUCGUUAACCACUGAGCCAUGACGGGAACUCCAAAAUAUUACUUUACUUUGUAUAUUCCUGUUGAAUGAACUUAAUUUAUUUGCUCCUGAGUAACCCUAUUAUCAUUCUUUACAAUUCUAUGUUGUUGCAAAAAAAAAAAAAAAUUAUCAAUGACCACAAUAUGGAUAUAUUAGACCAGGUGUUCUCAAAGUAUUUGGUCUCAGAACCCCGUUACAGUGUAAAAAAGUCACUGGGGAUCCAAAGGUGAUUUGUGUAAGUUAUAUACAGUGAUAUUUAUUGUAUCAGAUGUUGGAAAAAUUUAAAUAUUUAAUAACCCAUUAAUAAACCCAUUUUAUAUUAAUUUAUGAAAAUUUUAUAAAAUUAAAAGGUAAGAAGUAUUAUAUUUUUGUAUUUUGCCACAUCUUAAAGUAGUAAGUUUUAAUGAAAGGAAGUCUGGUUCUUUUUCUUUUCUUUUUUUUUAGGGCCCCACCCGUGGUAUAUGGAAGGCUAGGGGUUGAAUCAAAGCUACAGCUGCCAGCCUAUGCCACAACCACAGCAAUGCUAGAUCCAAGCUGCAUCUGCAACCUACACCACAGCUCACGGCAAAGCCACAUUCUUAACCCACUGAGUGAGGCCAGGGAUCAAACCCACGUCCUCAUGGAUACUAGUCAGGUUCAUUUCUGCCAUGCCACAUUGAGAACUCCUGGAAGUGUGGUUCUUAUAUUUGUUUCUCCAUUCCACAUGCCAUUUUGGUUGAAGAACAUAUAGAAAACCUAGUUUCACACAGACACAUAGUUGGAAAAAGAGCAUUAGAAUAGCCUUUUAAUGUUAUUUGAUACUCUAAAUACUGAAAGUUACAGAUUUUUGAAAGUUGCACCGUGGAUUUGAAUAACUAUGUUAAUAACAUUUUUGCAACAUCAGUUGAUAUAUCUUACAAUUUAAAUGGAUUUUUUUGGUCCAUGAAUAAUUUUGUAAUACUCCACAUUAGUAAUUGGAAAAUGAUGGUUUGCCACAUUUCUAAAUGGCUUGUAGAUUUUGCAAAAGAUAACUCAUUUCAUUAAACAAUAUUUAAAAGCCAUAUUUAUUAAUAUCACCAUCCAUCUCAUCAAAACAGUCUUCAAAUACUGGGAAGCAUUCAAACUAACAGCAUAGACUCAUUCUCCAAGACUGAAAGCUCAAAUUCUAUCACUGACAAUAAAUGCUAUCAGUUGUCUUCAAGUGACAGACUCACUUUGUCCAUUUCCAAAAAAGUCUGAAAAUACCCAAGUCUAAAUAAUCAUAGUUUGUCUGUCAACAGUUUUUUCAAGUACAAAGCAGUGACACAGAAAAAAAUUGUUCAGUUUGCGACUCAAACAACUGCAGAAGUGUUUUUCCUUGAGACAAGAGUCUUUCUUCACUACACAGCCACAGGACUUUAUGCAUGCUUCCUCUUUUGUCACAUAGAGUGUUAAGAUGUUUACUCAAGGGUUAAGGAUUUACAAAUUUAUCAUUUUUACUAGUGCAUCAAGUAUUUAAGUGAAAAACCCUUUUUUUUUUAAGCUACACACACUGUGAAUGCAUGGUGAUAUAAAGAACACAAAGGCUAGUACGGUUUGCUGCCACGGCCUUGAUUCACAUUAAGGUGACUGUAUCAUCAUUACUUUUUGCAGCAUCAGUACAAAUGUCAACAAACUUAAUAAGGUAAAUUAUGUCACAGCUAUUUUUAGGAAAACACUGUGAUCUUCCUGAUUCCCUGAAAAGUCUACAAGUUAUACUUUGAGAACUGCCAUAAGGCAACAACAACAACAAGGAAAUGAGUAUAUGUUUAUAUAGUACUGCUAAUACCUUAUAUCAUGACUCAUCUUAAAUUCUUGAAUAUUGAGAAGGGAUAUAAAAAACACACAAUCCCGUUUAAAUUACAUACACCUGUUUGUUAGGACACAUUAACUUAAAGAGUCCAAGAUUUAUGGGCAAAUGCCCCGUGUGUGUACAUGCAUGAGAUAGAGAGAGAGGUAGACAGAGACAACAGACAACAAAAUAAACAUUUUCCAAAAAAACCACUGGGAAAGUGGCUCUAAGGCCUACUCAGAACCAUGAAUUACCUGGAUUUAUUCACAGUGUUCCUAUUAUUUUAUUAAAAAAUCAAUCAACUUUAGAAUUAGAAAAGUCUGCUCCUAACCACAAGCUAAUUUUGGUUUUCAGAGUUAUAAACAAAUGUGGAAACACAGUGAAACUCAGAAUGCCUUCCUGGCAAAAGUAUAACCUGUGGGUCUCAACACUGAGGGAGAGGGAAAGCAUCUUGGGAGGUGUGGCGUGGCAGGAGCAGGUGGUCCUCUUAAGCUGACACCUAGCAUGGUUUCCGUACAUUUGUGAAGGGGGCACCCUACGUGUGGUACGGUAAUCAAUAGAGCAGACUAUGCAAUACUUAAGAAUCUUCCUCUGAAUGCAAUGGUCAGCUUUGUUAAGUGCUUAUCAUUUAUGCAUGCAAAACAUACAUUCUUUAUGUCAGUUGAAAACAUGAGGCAGCUAGAUAGGUAGAUAAUUAAGUCGACUUCGCAGUCUUCUUCAGAGAGAUACAAAGAGAAGACAGACACGAGAGGGAGAGACACAGACAAGCAAAGACAGGAGAGAGAGGAAGAGAAGCCAAAGAAAAAGAGGGAAGAGCAACAAAGGCAAAAAGACAGAUGUAAGAGAGACAUGGAGAGGGAAUAUGAGGAAUAGGCACCUUAAAUUAACCCAGAGAAGAGAAACAACAAAGCUUUGCAUCUCAGGACAGUUGUUCAGUUUGCAAUGCCCAGCAUGAGGCCUGACAUAUCUAGUCGAGUCCAGUACUGCAUUUUAUUUCUUUUAAAUUUUACCAUAAACAUUUCACAUGCAGAAAUAUGGAAAGUCAUUUUUUUGUUUUGUUUUGUUUUUUUGGGAAAAUCAUUUUAAAGCCCAAAUCUCAUGACAAGUUUAUCACCUUUUCUCCAAGAAGCACCACAAUGAUUGGGCACAUGCCCAUUUGUUAGCAGGUACAUAUACUGGUGAGGCCCUCAAAGGUUCCAUGUCAGGAUGGCCCAUGCUCUUGUCCACCCGGGCUGCAUUAAUGAGUUUACCUGAUCUGGCUGGUCAAGUGUCAGUUUUAACGUGUCCUCUGUUGCCAAGACAGCCAUUUAGCAGGGUCACUUUUCAGGAUGACAAACACGAGAUUUAAAGCUUGACCCAAUUUCUAGUUAUUGAAUGUCUCCUCUGGAAGCAAGAAGAUCAGCAUGAGUUUUUUAUGAACAUGCAUCCAAGCACACACGCUUUGCCACCGUCCCUGCUACUUCUCAAUUUCUGACUUAAGGCUGGUCAUCUCUAAGGCCUCAUAAUGGGAUUUGUGCUGAUUCUCUGGAACUGCUUCACACAUGCCAUCUCCUCUCCUACCCAAAGGGCUCUGGGGCAGACUGAGUUCUUCAGGGAAUAAAAGAUACUACAAUGCCUUUCACAUUCACUAUGAUUCUCAAAUAUCUUAUAAAGAGAUGUACAUAUUAUAGAGUUCUAUUUUUCUAAAAGAAGUCAUGACCUACAAUUCUUUAGUUCCCUUUGAACAAAAGUGUUUACAUUUUGUUUGGUUGCUACACCAGUUCUACUCUUUAGUUGUUGAGAAAAAAAGGAGCUGACGCUUGUAAACACACCCUAGGCUUCCAGGCAGGGGUGAUGCAGAACGUGAAGGAAAGAUGAGCAGGCACGACAUGAAAGAUCAAAUUUCGGUUGACAUCAUUCAAAGCAUCUGACCAAAGCAGAGCCAUUGGAGAACUAGAGUUUUGUUUUGUUUUGUUUUUUUAAAUGGUAUUCUUCACCAUGGCCCACCUUUUGCCCUGGAUUGACUCAUGGGUCAUCACUGGGUCAGCCUGGCCAGCAGGACAUGGUGGACAGGGAUUUUAAACAGGAUAUGGUUCCAAGGGCCAUUGUCUAUUUACUCUUUAUUGAAUUACCAGGUGCAUGACUCCCUUUCAAUCUUUUAUCUCUAUUCCUUUCUUUGCCUUUUUACCUGUAAUUCCCAAACUCAAAGGCCCAAAGACAUGAGGACCUGGAGUUGGCAGGGUUUAGUGUGGGUCAGUGGAAAAGAGACCCUUCGAUGCCCUCCUCCCCUGUGUUCCCUGUGUUCAGGACAAAUAGAUUCAAAAAGCAUUGAUAACAGUGAUCCAACAUGGUGUUUUAAAUCUGGGGGAAAAAAAAUGAAAAGGUGACAGGCUCUAGAGUCAAACUGCCUGGUUCGACUUGCAGCUAGUUCAGAAACUUACUAUCUGUAUGACCUUGGAAAAGUUACCAUCAAAUCUCUGAAGCCUUAAUAUCCCCAUCUACAAAAUAGAGACAGUUAAUAAAAACCUCAGGAGGAGAGGAAUGAAUAAGAUGCUAUGUAAGUAAGUACUUAGCAUUUCAAUAGUUAUUAGUCAAGAAAGAAAAGGGAGCGGGAGGGGGAAGGGGAACAUUCCAGUGAGUGGCAAAGAGAAUAGGUACAAGCAACCCAAAUGCCUUCAAAAGUAAUUUUGUUAAAUACAUUCAAUUUACCACUUAUUCUGUGAGAAAUCCAGCAAUGCACUUUGUGAAAGAAUACAUAGAUACAAUAUAAGCACACUCAAAUCUAACUUUAAAAAGUACAUAUUUCAAAAUAACUGAUAAAGUAUUUACUAAAUUCCAAUCAGCAGCCAUACCAGUAGCCAAGUAGGGAGAAAAAUGUUUUAAAUUAGCGCCUUUCACAACAUUUUGAACAAA